rnacentral:rRNA from 1 species
GACGAACGCUGGCGGCGUGCUUAACACAUGCAAGUCGAACGGAAAGGCCCUGCUUUUGUGGGGUUCUCGAGUGGCGAACGGGUGAGUAACACGUGAGUAUCCUGCCCUUGACUUUGGGAUAACUUCAGGAAACUGGGGCUAAUACCGGAUAGGAUCUCCUGCUCCAUGGUGGGGGUUGGAAAGUUUCGGCGGUUGGGGAUGGACUCGCGGCUUAUCAGCUUGCUGGUGGGGUAGUGGCUUACCAAGGCUUUGACGGGUAGCCGGCCUGAGAGGGUGACCGGCCACAUUGGGACUGAGAUACGGCCCAGACUCCUACGGGAGGCAGCGGUGGGGAGUAUUACACAAUGGGCGGAAGCCUGAUGCAGCAGCGCCGCGUGCGGGAUGACGGCCUUCGGGCUGUAAACCGCUUUCGCCUGUGACGAAGCGUGUGUGACGGUAAUGGGUAAAGAAGCACCGGCUAACUACGUG